AAUGGUGGAGCUGCAGAGGACGAGUCUGACGAAGAGAAGAAAGUUAGUGAGGAGUGACAGAGACCAGAGAGAGGGGGAGAGGAAACGCACGCGCGCGCGCACACCGCACUCCGCGCGCUCUCAGGAUGAUGACUCUGUACAGCAAAAGUUUGAAAGUGAAAGAAAGAGACAGUGUCGGGUCAAACUGGUGCACAUGCGCGCUUCAGCUAUGUUUGACUGAAGUUAAAAAAAGAAAGAAAUGAAAGACAAGACGUGCACAUUGUGCGCCUGAGUGCCACUGAUGCGGGGUUUUCAGUGAAGAGUUUCAGAGGAAGAGGAGGUUGAAGACAGACGAACUGGGCUCAGGCGCAGGAUUGAGAAACGGUUUCACCACAGGACUGUCACAUUGGCUCUCACCACGUUCGCCCAUCCUGACAGGCAGCGGGGAAACCACCUGAGAGAAGCAGCUCUGACAGAAGUUUAUACAACAGCAUGUUCAGUGCCUUUAUGAUCACAUCAAACAUGUGCAUCAUCAGACCUAAUGGUUAAAACAUUUGCUUUUUAUUACAGCUGUGUAGUGACAGAUAGUGUAAGAUGGAGUUAUAGGCUCAGCAGGUGAUGUUAGUUAGGAAAGGGAACAAGGGAAGCCCCUGUGCUGCAGUUAAUGAGGUUUACAAGCCUCCAUGAUAUUUCACUUUUUAUUCUGAUCAUUUCCAGCACUAAGUAAGAUUUUCCAAACCCACAAUGACGUCAUUUCUCCAUCAACCGCACGUUCAAGUUCUCUUUUCUGGUGCUGGUCUUUGUUUUAUUAGAGAUUAGAGAGGCUCCCCCCGUGUUGUUGUGUGUGUGGCCAUGCAGUGCAGGCUUUGAUCUAUAAAAUCUAUAAAAACAUUUGUGAAUGUAAUGAAAUAUUCACAAUCACAAUUUCCCUAAUAGGUCAUUUGAUAGUUUCACACUCACUGAGUCUCUUUGAGGGAAAAGUUCAAAUAUGGAGAUGAAAAGUGACUGCUGUGAAGCUCACGUUCAUGUUCAGGUUUUGUUAUUUUUUGUAAAAAGCUGGAGAAAUAGACAACGUCAUGUGACAUAAAUGGGUCCUAUUUCUAAAACAAAUGAAUUGUAUCCCCUUUUAUCACCAAAACAGAUUAGCCAUAUAAUCUUCAGUUUAAAAGAGAACACAUAAAAAUAAUGAUAUGUACUGUACAUGUACAUGUAUGUAGCUCAUCAGCACCUGUGACCUGUUUUAAGUUUGAAUGUUCUCGGAAUAAAGGGCCUGUCAUAGUAAGUAAUCACGAUAUGAAUUUGAAAAGCCAAAUAGCUCACUAUUUAUUCAAUUAAACCUAGUCAAAUUUAAAUAUUUUGCAGAUACAUUCAUACAAAUCAUGUGUCAAGAGGUUGUUUAAAAUGAGGGACAGUCAAUACAGGCUAAGAGUAAAAUGCAUAUUUAGAAAAACAAAUCAAACAAAUGUCGGACUGUGGAGAACUUUUAAA